AUUGAACGCUGGCGGCAGGCCUAACACAUGCAAGUCGAGCGGCAGCGGGACCUUCGGGUUGCAGGCGAGCGGCGGACGGGUGAGUAAUGCCUAGGAAUCUGCCUGUUAGUGGGGGAUAACGCGGGGAAACUCGCGCUAAUACCGCAUACGUCCUACGGGAGAAAGCGGGGGCUCUUCGGACCUCGCGCUAACAGAUGAGCCUAGGUCGGAUUAGCUAGUUGGUGGGGUAAUGGCCCACCAAGGCGACGAUCCGUAACUGGUCUGAGAGGAUGAUCAGUCACACUGGAACUGAGACACGGUCCAGACUCCUACGGGAGGCAGCAGUGGGGAAUAUUGGACAAUGGGCGAAAGCCUGAUCCAGCCAUGCCGCGUGUGUGAAGAAGGUCUUCGGAUUGUAAAGCACUUUAAGUCGGGAGGAAGGGCUGUAGGCUAAUACCUUGCAGUUUUGACGUUACCGACAGAAUAAGCACCGGCUAACUUCGUGCCAGCCGCCGCCGUAA
rnacentral:rRNA from 1 species